GACGAACCGUGCGAACGUUGUUCGGAAUCACUGGGCUUAAAGGGCGCGUAGGCGGCUGCGCAAGUCCGGGGUGAAAGCCCCCAGCUCAACUGGGGAAGUGCCUUGGAUACUGUGCAGCUCGAGCGAGGUAGGGGUCGUGGGAACUUCCGGUGGAGCGGUGAAAUGCGUUGAUAUCGGAAGGAACGCCGGUGGCGAAAGCGCACGACUGGACCUCUUCUGACGCUGAGGCGCGAAAGCCAGGGGAGCAAACGGG
rnacentral:rRNA from 1 species